CUGCAGCCAGUUAAACUGACCAGGUUCCUUUUCCUGAUGGUGGCUGGCCCGGUGUGCCAUGGCUGCGCACAGCAGCCUCCUUGGUAGUGUACGUUACCUGUGCUUGUACAGGUGGCCCUAAGGGACCUUGGAGACAUCC
ensembl:snoRNA SNORA70 Small nucleolar RNA SNORA70